ACGAGUCAAGCAUGUGUGUAGAAUUU
rnacentral:piRNA from 1 species